UAGCUACAGGCUUAACACAUGCAAGUCGAGGGGCAGCAUGGUCUUAGCUUGCUAAGGCCGAUGGCGACCGGCGCACGGGUGAGUAACACGUAUCCAACCUGCCGUCUACUCUUGGACAGCCUUCUGAAAGGAAGAUUAAUACAAGAUGGCAUCAUGAGUCCGCAUGUUCACAUGAUUAAAGGUAUUCCGGUAGACGAUGGGGAUGCGUUCCAUUAGAUAGUAGGCGGGGUAACGGCCCACCUAGUCUUCGAUGGAUAGGGGUUCUGAGAGGAAGGUCCCCCACAUUGGAACUGAGACACGGUCCAAACUCCUACGGGAGGCAGCAGUGAGGAAUAUUGGUCAAUGGGCGAGAGCCUGAACCAGCCAAGUAGCGUGAAGGAUGACUGCCCUAUGGGUUGUAAACUUCUUUUAUAAAGGAAUAAAGUCGGGUAUGGAUACCCGUUUGCAUGUACUUUAUGAAUAAGGAUCGGCUAACUCCGUGCCAGCAGCCGCGGUAAUACGGAGGAUCCGAGCGUUAUCCGGAUUUAUUGGGUUUAAAGGGAGCGUAGAUGGAUGUUUAAGUCAGUUGUGAAAGUUUGCGGCUCAACCGUAAAAUUGCAGUUGAUACUGGAUAUCUUGAGUGCAGUUGAGGCAGGCGGAAUUCGUGGUGUAGCGGUGAAAUGCUUAGAUAUCACGAAGAACUCCGAUUGCGAAGGCAGCCUGCUAAGCUGCAACUGACAUUGAGGCUCGAAAGUGUGGGUAUCAAACAGGAUUAGAUACCCUGGUAGUCCACACGGUAAACGAUGAAUACUCGCUGUUUGCGAUAUACUGCAAGCGGCCAAGCGAAAGCGUUAAGUAUUCCACCUGGGGAGUACGCCGGCAACGGUGAAACUCAAAGGAAUUGACGGGGGCCCGCACAAGCGGAGGAACAUGUGGUUUAAUUCGAUGAUACGCGAGGAACCUUACCCGGGCUUAAAUUGCAGAUGAAUUACGGUGAAAGCCGUAAGCCGCAAGGCAUCUGUGAAGGUGCUGCAUGGUUGUCGUCAGCUCGUGCCGUGAGGUGUCGGCUUAAGUGCCAUAACGAGCGCAACCCUUGUUGUCAGUUACUAACAGGUUCCGCUGAGGACUCUGACAAGACUGCCAUCGUAAGAUGUGAGGAAGGUGGGGAUGACGUCAAAUCAGCACGGCCCUUACGUCCGGGGCUACACACGUGUUACAAUGGGGGGUACAGAGGGCCGCUACCACGCGAGUGGAUGCCAAUCCCCAAAACCUCUCUCAGUUCGGACUGGAGUCUGCAACCCGACUCCACGAAGCUGGAUUCGCUAGUAAUCGCGCAUCAGCCACGGCGCGGUGAAUACGUUCCCGGGCCUUGUACACACCGCCCGUCAAGCCAUGGGAGCCGGGGGUACCUGAAGUGCGUAACCGCGAGGAGCGCCCUAGGGUAAAACUGGUGACUGGG
rnacentral:rRNA from 1 species